UACGGAGGAUCCAAGCGUUAUCCGGAAUCAUUGGGUUUAAAGGGUCCGUAGGCGGUCUUAUAAGUCAGUGGUGAAAGCCCAUCGCUCAACGAUGGAACUGCCAUUGAUACUGUAGGACUUGAAUUUUUGUGAAGUAACUAGAAUAUGUAGUGUAGCGGUGAAAUGCUUAGAUAUUACAUGGAAUACCAAUUGCGAAGGCAGGUUACUAACAAACGAUUGACGCUGAUGGACGAAAGCGUGGGGAGCGAAC
rnacentral:rRNA from 1 species